GCUCAGCCUCCGUGCAGGUAAACUAACAUUAGAGACUCAGAGUCUGGUCUGGAGGACACAAGCCACUCCACAGCGGAUUACUGCAAGAUUAAUAAAGUAGACCUGCAGGACCCGAGCAGAGCUACGAUGCUCUCCCAGGUAACGUUAGGUACUUCAAGCUUUACAAUAAGAAGUCAAGGAAGUGAAGGACUACAGCCACAUCCCAGCCCUUCAAAGAGGCUGUCGUCCAGACUGGAGCGGUGGGCCAUCAGUGAGCUCAGGAGACCAGAUGAUCCCAGGCGUCCAGGAGUUGUGUGUGAUAUUCCUGCACCACCCUCAGAAGUGUUGCUGCAGACACAAGUCAGCAGAGAAAUACAGCUUGCCUUAGGUGAAACUGAAUAUG